rnacentral:rRNA from 1 species
UACGUAGGGUGCAAGCGUUGUCCGGAAUUAUUGGGCGUAAAGAGCUCGUAGGCGGUUUGUCGCGUCGGCUGUGAAAACUCGGGGCUCAACCCCGAGCCUGCAGUCGAUACGGGCAAACUAGAGUGUGGUAGGGGAGACUGGAAUUCCUGGUGUAGCGGUGAAAUGCGCAGAUAUCAGGAGGAACACCCGUAGCGAAGGCGGCACUCUGGGCCGAUACUGACACUGAGGAGCGAAAGCGUGGGGAGCGAACAGG